GUAUUCACUUUCUUUUAAUAACAAUACAUAUACCAUGUUAUGACCAUGGAACGUAAGUUUAGGUUAGACAAGAGAAUUUCACAAGUGUAUUAAAUCUGUAGUAUAUCAAAGUUUGUGUAUAAUGUCUCACGAACCAGCUUGCUCAUAAAUUAUUAAUCACUUCCAUUAUAGGUAAUUUGUUUAGCUUAACAUUUAUGAUUCUUAUAGAGAAAAAAACCAUACUACACACAUUUAAAAAGUGUUCAUUUACCUUUGCAUUGGCACUUAAAAUACAUACUUCUAUUACAAGAUAACAUUUAAAAAUUAUUCUAAUAUAACAUUAACAGCAAAAAUAUAAUUCUGCAAUUAUAAGAGUUAAACUGGAACCAUAAUUAUUUUAUUCUCAUGUUUAUAAGCGUGAUUCUGAAAUAAAUACUACUUCUCUGCAGCUCUAUUGUAAGCUUUCUAGAUUUGGUUUAAACAUUCAUACACACACAGUUUCAGUUGUGAGAGGCUUUACAAGUCACAUUCCACGUACUUUUUUCAAAGAGUUGCUUGAGUGAACCAGUCCUAAAAACUGAAGUACUCAACCAGUCCACAAGACAAGCAGAAAAAAGUUAAAUUAACUGGGGUAAACAGGGCUCCUACAUAACAUCCAAAGCAUGUGAUAUUCUGCAGCAAACAGGGAGUAAUUUGGGGUUGGCCUACUGUCAUCUUUA